GCAAAUUCCUCAUGAAUAAAGUUUUGUCAAGAGAAUGUUAAUUUAGUUACCAUGGAAACUGAUUGUGACACUGAAGCACAUGGCUGCAGCAGACAGUUGUUCCAGAAGUGAUGUCCAGAAGUUGAAGAAAAAUCUAGAAAAUGCCACAUAAAACAGCACAGAGGUCACAGACAUAGAAACAAAAUAAAAAAUGAUCCUAUACGAUACCAGGAACAUCUGUAAAAAGACAGGGAGAGAUACUGGAAGAAAAAAUAGAUAGAUUUCACUUCUAUCUCUGAGCUUACAAAGCGAGAACAAA